GAUGAAGAACGUAGCGAAAUGCGAUAAGUAAUGUGAAUUGCAGAAUUCAGUGAAUCAUCGAAUCUUUGAACGCACAUUGCGCCCGCCAGUAUUCUGGCGGGCAUGCCUGUUCGAGCGUCAUUACAACCCUCAGGCCCCCGGGCCUGGCGUUGGGGAUCGGCGGAGCCCCCCGUGGGCACACGCCGUCCCCCAAAUGCAGUGGCGGUCCCGCCGCAGCUUCCAUCGCGUAGUAGCUAACACCUCGCGCCUGGAGAGCGGCGCGGCCACGCCGUAAAACACCCAACUCUUCUGAAGUUGACCUCGAAUCAGGUAGGAAUACCCGCUGAACUUAAGCAUAUCAAUAAGCGGAGGA
rnacentral:misc_RNA from 1 species